AACGCGAAGAACCUUACCUGGGCUCGAACGGCUUCAGACAGUCGUGGAAACACGAUCUUCCCCUUAAAAGGACUGGAGUCGAGGUGCUGCAUGGCUGUCGUCAGCUCGUGUCGUGAGAUGUUGGGUUAAGUCCCGCAACGAGCGCAACCCUUGUCCUGUGUUGCCACUCCCGCAAGGGAAGCACUCUCAGGAGACCGCCAGCGAUAAGCUGGAGGAAGGUGGGGAUGAUGUCAAGUCAUCAUGGCCUUUAUGUCCAGGGCUACACACGUGCUACAAUGGGCGGUACAAAGCGCUGCAAACCCGCGAGGGGGAGCCAAUCGCAAAAAACCGUUCUCAGUUCGGAUCGCAGGCUGCAACUCGCCUGCGUGAAGCUGGAAUCGCUAGUAAUGGCGUAUCAGAAUGAUGCCGUGAAUACGUUCCCGGGCCUUGUA
rnacentral:rRNA from 1 species